AGUUAGCCUUGGGGCUUUGCAGUGGGUUCAGUCGUGGCCAAGGCUGGAACUUGAAGAGCGCUGUACGAGUAGAGGCGUGUUUUAGUAUGCAGGGAUAGCCCAAAAGUGUGCUGACAGCAGCCUGGACUGUGCUACAUUCCUAUGAGACAAACCAUUGCUGUGAGCCAGGAGUGGUGCUGAAGGAGGGACUGCUGGGGCUGAUGGGUAUUUUGUCUUUAUAUAUGUGCGUUCAGUGUGGUGUAGUGUUUACCACAGCACUAAUAGGAUUGAUUCUGAGACAUGGAGCUAUGAGUGCUGCAGGAGCUUGAAUGGGAUGUGCUGAACUGACAUAAUGGCAAUGCCUGGAACAUUCACACAAUGGGUUUCAAUAAAUAAACCUGUGCUGAAGUUCAGG